CGUAUUUUCCCUGCCCUUUGAAUUUAUGCUCAGCCGUGGACUUGCUUUGGCCAAUAGAUUGAGGUGGAAUUGAAGGAACAGCCACUCUACGCCUAAGCCGCGAGAGACUUUGUGUUUCCACUUGCUCGGCAAGCCCACUGAUCCCAAGAGGAGGAUGAGAGACUCAUGGACAGAGCUGAGCUGCCCCAAUGAGCCAGACCCACAGACCCAUGCCUCAAGGAUUCUUCUCGAUGAUCACUAUCUCAGCGGAGCUAUGUGCAGGCCCAGCAGCUCCCGUGGCCCCCUCCCCUACCUCUCAGGACCACCCAGGAAUUUCCAGGAAUGUGUGGCUGUGGCUGCUGAGGAUGUGAUGGGGUGAAGGCCAAGCCAGAUAUCGGGAAGGAAGAGAAGGAUCAGAUGUGAUGGUUGGGGCUGAGGGACAUCAUGUCAAUCAAUGGUUUCAGUCCUGGCAUUACCAGCAUCAGUGGGCUCAGAGCUGGCAGGGAAGCCUGACCUGUGUUUGGAAACUCUCCUCCGUCUGCCCCCCACCACCCCACCCCACCUUCCCUUACAGCCUCCUCUUCCCCUUGCCUGGACCUCAGGUCUCGGCCCACAGGGUCCUCCCUGGAUGCCUGAGACUCCCACUGCCCCUUCCAUCACUCUCGAUUCCAGGUUCAGGGGUUCUGGAUUCAGGAAGCUGUUGUGAGGAUCCUAUGAGAUGGUGGUUGCAAAGUGCUCAACAGGAUGCUUGGCCCAGGGGUCUCACUAUGUCACCCAAGCUGGAGUGCAGUGGCACAAUCAUGGCUCAUUGCAGCCUUGACCUCCUAGGCUCAAGCAAUGCUCCUGCCUCAGCCUCCCAAGUAGCUGGGACUACAGAAUGCCAGCUCCCUAAGGGCAGGGAUUUUUGUCUGUUUUGCUCACCGCUCUAUCCCCAGCUUCUAGAAUGGGGCCUGGCCCACGAUGAGUAAACCGAGGUGCUCAGAGGUUAAGUGACUGACUUGCCAGGAAGUGUCAAGGUCAGGAUUCAAACUCAGGCUGGGAGGUCACAGAGCCUGUGCCAGAAACUCCUAGGCCAAGUACCCUCUUGGCUCCGCUCCCAAAAGGCCCUUGAAAAGUUUUCCCACCUGCCUGAAUUCUGGACGCUGUCAACGACUCAACCUCAGAGGACAUCUUGUCCCCAGCUCCUGCCCAGCUCUCCUGGCCCUGCCAAAGGAUGUUCCCUGGACUUUCUGCCACUCAAACCCCUCAGCCAGCAUCCAGUUUUGCUGACACCGGUCAUUCCCACGAGGGUUCUGGAGACACUUUGGAGCUCCAAGUCAUCUCUGCACAUAAAUAUGUUAUUAGGCACUGAUGUGGGGGACAACUGCCAAUUGAUCCCAGGCCCCACCCCUUGCCAGUCUCUGCCUGCAAGGACAGUUAAUGGCUCUGAGGAAACUAAAAAUAAGCUGCAAGUCGAUGGGAGAGGAAUUACCCAGAAAUGUCAGCCUGUGCAACUGUCACUGUCGAAGUGGGGCCAAGAGAAAGAUGGGGCUUGGGGAUCAGGAGAGAGGGCAGGAACCAGGCCUGGAGUUGUGCAGCAUCGAAGGCUACCAUCUUUCUCUCACUCCAAUAUCUGGUCCAUGACCAAGUCCACUGACUCUGUCUUCCUGAAAUUUCCAAAAUCUAUCCACGUCCUCAUCACCUCCAUGGCCACCACCUGACCCUGCCAUCACAGUUUCCUCCUUGUUGCCCUGUUUUUGCUUUUGCCCCCAAGAUCCUGUCCCUCCUCUGCUCAGAACUCUUCUAGGCCCCCAUCUCUCCCAGAGAAAAAUCCCAAGUCCUCAUUUAUGAGGACCCACAAGGCUCUCAGUGACCUCUUCCCUCAGUCUCACGCCCCCUCCCUCACUCUGCUUCAGCUGUGUGAUCCAACUCUACUCUGCAAGAUCCAACCCCAGGGCCUUUGCACUUGCUGCUUCCCUUAUUUGGAACCUUCUAUCCCCACAUCUUCUCCAAGUCUCUGAAUCUAGCUUUCUUAUCAUCCAGGGCUCAUCUCAAAUAUCUCAGGGAGGCCUCCCUGACCACCCCAGCUAGAGCAGACCCGAAAGUCUCUCUAUUCACAGCCCUGUUUCAUACUCUACAUAUCAUCAUCUAAAAUCACCUUGUAUAUGUUUCCUUGACUCUCUGCCCCCUGUCCCCCUGACCCCCCAAAUGGUAAUCGACACAACACAGAAUCUUUGAGGUCUAUGGUAAGUACUCAAAGGAUUUUUUUUGAGAGGUGGAAUCUCACUAUGUUGCCCAGGCUGGUCUCAAACUCCUGGGCUCAAGCAAUCCUCUUGCCUCACCCUCCCGACUAGCUGGGACUACAGGUGCACACUACCAUGCCCAGUGUCUCAAUGGAACUUCUAAACAAUUCUUCAAAAUAACUGGUCUGCACACUUCAAAAAAUGUAAAUGUCAUGAGAAACAAUGAAACGCACAGAAACUGUGCCAGAUUAAAGAAAAUGGGUCGGGUGCAGUGGCUCAUGCCUGUAAUCUCAGCACCUUGGGAGGCUGAGGCUGGUGGAUCACAAGGUUAAAAGAUCAAAACCAUCCUGGCCAACAUGGUGAACUCCCAUCUGUACUAAAAAUACAAAAAAUUAGCUGGACGUGGUGGCAUGCGCCUGUAGUCCCAGCUAUUCAGGAGGCUGAGGCAGGAGAAUCGCUUGAACUCAGGAGGCAGAGGUUGCCGUGAGCCGAGAUUAUGCCACUGCACUCCAGCCUGGCGACAGAGCAAGACUCCAUCUCAAAAAAAUAAAAAAAUUAAAAGAAAAGAAAACAGAAGAGUCAGAAUGACUAAAUGCAACGUGUGAUUCUGGAUUGGAUGCUGGACCAAGUUGAACCAAAAAGGACAUUAUUGAGACAACUGGCAAAACUGGAAUACAGAUUGUUUAUUAGAUAAUGAUCAUGUAUUUGGGCUCAUUAUCCUGAAAUUGGUUAUUGUACUGUGGUCAUGCAGGAGAUGUUCUUGCUUACACUCAAGCAAUUAGGGAUAAAAAAGCAUGAUAUCUGCAACUUAUUCCCAAAUUAUUUCAAUAAAAUAAACCCAGUGGGGAAAAGAAAGCAUAAGAGAGAGAGAGACAGAGAGAGAGAAAGCAAAGGUGGUAAAAUGUUUAAAACUGGGGAAUCAAGGUGAGGCAUAUAUAGGAGUUCAUUAAACUAUUUAUUAAACUUUUCUAUAAAUUUAACAUUUUUCCAAAUUAAAAACAAAAACAAAAACAAAAACAAAAAGAAGCUGGGCAUGGUGGCUCACACCUGUAAUCCCAGCACUUCCAGAGGCGGAGGCAGGCAGAUCACUUGAGGUGGAGUUUGAGACCAGCCUGGCCAACAUAGUGAAACCCCAUUUCUACUAAAAAUACAAAAAUUAGCCAGGCAUGGUGGCAGGCAACUGUGGUCUCAGCUACUCGGGAGGCUGAGGCAUGAGAAUCACUUGAACCUGGGAGGCGGAGGUUGCAGUGAGCCGAGAUCGAGCCACUGCACUCCAGCCUGGGCAACAGAGCAAGACUCUGUCUCAAAAGAAAAAAAAAGAAAAGAAUACUGAAUGAAUGUUUCUGUUCAUUAUGCUGUUUGACAGUAAAGGAAGUCAGGGAACUGGUUUGGGCAGUGGGUAUGUGUGCACACACCCACACUCACAUCAGCACACACUCACAAAUGCACACCUACAUACACAUGCACACACAGGCAUAGUCAUGUGCACACCUGCACAGGUGCACAGACAUGCACACACACACGCGUUCAUAUCGCAACCACACAUGCACACCUGCACACACCCACUUGCACAUUCACACCCACCU